CUCUGAGCUUCAAUCUGCUGAGUCAGCAGAGGAGAGUCGAUCACCUGGACACCCGAACCUGAACUCACGCCCGACAUCAUGUUCACUGCGGGAGCGAAAGAGCAGAUAAUUCUGUAUACCUGCUCUCCUGCCUUGAACGCCACAUCCUCCAGUUUGACGGCCGACAGCCCCUCCUGUUCCCCAAGAGGAGACAUCAUCUGAGCUCCAGCUGCUGCCACCUCCUGCAGCACGGCCACCACCCAGGUCAGGUGUUUCCUACAGUCGGAGAGGGUGUCGCACACCUGCACCACAAAGGUCAACGUGACUUCACUUAUUACAACAGGUUGCGGACCAUCAGGACUAAAACCUCACGCCAUAAACACAGUUUCUUCCCCCCUCUGUAGUCAGCCCUCUGUCACUGUCACUCAAACUCCUUUCUGAAAUGAUACAGCAAUGCUUUGACGUAAAAAAUAAAAAAGUGGACGGUGAAGCGGUUUGGUUGCCGAGGUUACCUGUUGUCCGAAGUCGAGUGCUGCUGGGAUGCCCGGCGCGUCUGUUCCGGGCAUCCUGCGG